rnacentral:misc_RNA from 1 species
GGCAAACGAUCGACGACAAUCGACGACGACGACGACAACGACGCAUGGACGCGGCGGAUUUCCGUGCGCGAUUUUCAUUCUGUUUUCAAACUCAUUUGAGUUUUAAAUACUUUACUACUACACACGCGCACACAACAACAAAAAAAUAAUAAUAAACGAACCCUAAACAAAAACGACACAGCGCCGGCCAGUUUCCAACUGCCAAAACAGUUGACGAGCAGCGGCAGCAGCAGCAGCAGCAGCAGCAGCUGACAUCGGCAGCAGUUGCCUGAUUAAAUCCAACGGCAAAAACUCAAGUAAAGUUCAGUCGGCCAACAAAUGGAGUCCAACAACAACAGCAACAACAGCGGCAAACGCGGCAAAAAAGGACGCAAAUCGCAAAACACAUCCUCCCAACAUCAUCCGUGGGACGAAGGCGGCAAGGCAGCGAGAACAGAAGGAGCAACAACAUCAACAACAGAAGAAGCAUCAACGUUGGCAACAAUGAGUCGGAUUGCGUGCACCGGCACCGCAUUGACUCGUUUUCUGGUUUGCAUGGCACCUGUGAUUGUGUCGCUACCUGGCGCUGGAACUGGCCCCACCGAGCAGCCAACCAUAUUGCUGAUCAACGGCAUUGCUGACGAGUCCCAGCAAGAGGAAGACAAACAGUGCAGCAAAUCAGACCUGAAGCUAACACUCGACAACAACAACGUCGAACCGGCGAUUGGGGGACUGACCCAUCCUACACAAGCACAGGCACCAAGCACACCGGGUGGAUCACAUCUGCUGCACUUCGAAUCUCACCUCAUUGAGGACGUCAACGCAGUGCAGAGCGGUGUGGGGAUUAAUGAACUGCCGCCUAUUGAGCAAGAACUGCAGAUUGGCACUUCGAAAAUAGAAGCUGACGAAGCCGCACAACUGAUUGAAGUGGAACCAGCAGGUGCGAAGACCAAGCAGCCAAUAGAGACUCUCGCACCAUCGCAUCAAAUAGCCGAGGUUGACGAGACGGCAACGGCAGAUAAAGGAACAGCAGCACCAGUACCAGAGGCAGUGCGUCAGACUGCCGAGCAACUAGUAGAUGAGAUUGAACGCGAGCUAAUCGAGAGCUUGAGCAAAAAUGUAGAACAGAAUCAGGAAGAGCAUGAGAAGCAGCUCAAAGAACAGCUAUCGGCAGUGAACUCACUAUCGCAGCAGGUGGAUGCACAACUGAAUGAGUUGACCAGCAUAUUGAAGAGCAAGCCACAGCCGGAGAUUGUAUUGGAGCAGGCGUGCGCCGAGUCGAAGGCAACGAACGAGAUUAAGCUGGUUGAGGUGCCCACACCCAAAUCAGAGGCAGAGGAGCAGCAACGCAAGGAGUUCAUUGACUCUCUGCCGCAAAUCGAACAGACUCGCUUGGGCACACAUACGGAUGCGGAAGCCAAGCGUCUGUCGGCGGAUUGCAAGCGAGAGUAUUAUCAGUCGCUGAAGAAGUAUCUGCUGCAGAACAGUCUGGAUAAGCCACCAGUGCCGUUACAAACCUAUCGCUGGGAGGAUCUACGAAGAGCAAAAGACAGAGGCGGCUAUCCUUGGACGCAUCUCUACAAACGUCCACUUGGACCCGACGAGGAGCCCGAAAUUGUGCUGCUGUUGCGCAAAUCGCAGGAGCUACGCUUCAAAUCUGAAUCACCCAAGUCGCUGAAGAAAGUGCACUACGACGAGCAGGUGUUGGUCAAGGAAACCGAACGCUACAUUCAGGAUUUGUCGGAGGACGAGGCGUUGGGUACCACUACUGACGACAGCAGUGAGGAAUCCGAACAGUCUGACAACGAAGCAGAGAGCGAGAAGCCCAACGAGGACGCGUUAAGCGAGUGCAUUUCCUGUGUCUCCGAUUCGGUGCUAGCAGUUGGAGGACACGCGAGACCAAGAAAAACUAAUCGCUUGGCGCAUAUCCGGGAUAUCAUUAGACGCAGACGUAGUGGACGUGUUCAGGGCGACGCACAAUCUCUGCCCGGCAGCUCGGCCAAUGCUAGCAGACAAGGCAGUCUGAACGACCUAGCACCGCCACCAGGACCACUUGUCCCGAAUACAGAAGUACCCACGAAAAAGAGCAAGCCAAAGAAAAGCUUCGACAUCAUGAAGAAGCUGAAGAGUUUGGCUGAUCGCCAGAAGAAGCGCUUGAACAUUAAGCGUAUUAUGCUCAAGAAGGACGAGAAAAUUGUGUUGGGCGAGCAGCAAAAGAUUAUGAAGCUGAAGGCUUCACCAAAAUCAGAUCGAGGUGAGAUUCCGCACUUUAUAGAGAAGCAGGACUCGGAUGAUAUAUUGGAGCUGGUGGAGUACGAUGAAUCACCCUGCCGGAAACGUAACAAAGACGAGCAGCUGAAUGAGGAGUUGCCCAGCACAAGUGCACAAAGCGCGGCCAGUGUGCCACAGCCGGAUGAGAUAAUUGAGUUGCCCGUGGAGCAGACCAAGACUGAAGCACCCGCUCUGGAAGUCACUGAGCCAGAGGUCGUAGAGACUUUGGAGCAACCCACUGAGGAGGAGGCGCCGCCCAAGAAAACGCCUCGUUUGCGUCGUGAACAUGUUUACGAGGAAAUUGGUCAGGCAGAGUCACAGCUGCCGCUGGAGCAACCCAUGGUUGAGCUAGAGUCGCUCAAGAAAUCACUAAUGCGCCAGGAUAAUCUGGCUGUAGAUGAUGUUGAGGCAGCGAAACCGGUACCAUUAGAUCGCAUGGGCAGCAGCGAGGAAGAUCAGGUGGCAAUUGCUGCUGCAGACAAAUCGGGUGCUCUACUGGCACCACUAUCAUCCAUAGACUCCACUUCCUCCGACGAGGAUCGCGCACGUCUGGCACAGCUGACUCCAGUGGCCGAGGAAAGCGACGAACCGAUGGAGACUAGCGAACUGCGACCCUCCCUAAAGAAGGAAUCCUCACCAGCACCCUCCGACAAGAAGGUUACCUUCUCCCACGUCGAGGACGAAGCCGAACCGCAUCGUGAGGAUAUUGAGCUACCUGACGAUGUGCUGGAAGCGGCUACAAAUGCGGCCAAGGCAAAGAACGAGAGAAACUCUAACCUAAUUGACUUGCUUUUGAAAUUGUUACUAACCCUGUGGCCACCGGGAGACGGCAAAAGACGUCGCCUGCGCUCGCGCAAAUAUGCAAAGCCUUACUACCAAGAUUACCACUACACAGACAACAACCAAAUCACAGACACCAUCACACACAAAGGCACACAAUGCACCACCGAGGGGCGAGCUAGGCGCUUAACCACCGUGAGGCUUUGUUGCUGCUGCAGCAGUGGCGGCACUAAACAAUAUUGGUAAUGGGUAUUACGACGCGACGGCUCUUAAGCCUUAACAUGAUAUAGACCCAAAGUGAUCAUGAAUAUGAGCCCGUGGGCGUCUCGCCGGC